rnacentral:rRNA from 1 species
AUGUUAAUUUUUGUGUGAAUUUUUAUUUAUUUUAAUAAUAAAUAAUUUAUAAUUAGUCGCAGUAAUUAGUAUUAUUAAUUAAAGAAAUUUAGAAAUAGUUAUAUUAAAUAGUAUUGGCAAAAUUCGUGCCAGCAGUCGCGGUUAUACGAAUAAUACAAAUAAAAAUUUUUGGUAAAAGUUAAAUUUUGAUAAAUAAAAUAAGUAUAAAUUUAUAAGGUGAAAUUUAAAAUUUAUAAUUUUUUAAAAAUAAAAUUAAUUGAAGCUUAGAAAUUUUAUUAAUAAACUAGGAUUAGAUACCCUAUUAUUUAAAAUAUAAUUAAAUUUACUUAAGUAGUAUUAGUUAUGUUCUUGAAACUUAAAAAAUUUGGCGGUAUUUUAGUCUAUUCAGAGGAACCUGUUCUGUAAUCGAUAAUCCACGAUGUACCUAACUUAGUUUUGUAUUUCAGUUUAUAUACCGUCGUUAUCAGAAUAUUUAUAAGAAAGAUAAUUUUCUAGAAUUUUUAUAAAAAUGUAUAUCAGAUCAAGGUGUAGCUUAUAAUUAAGUAGAAAUGGGUUACAAUAAAAUUAUUUAAAUGAAUAUAAAAAUGAAAAAUUUAUUGAAAGUGGAUUUGAUAGUAAAAUUAUAAAGAUAAAUAAUUUGAUUUUAGCUCUAAAAUAUGCACACAUCGCCCGUCGCUCUUAUUAUUAAGGUAAGAUAAGUCGUAACAUAGUAGAUGUA